AGGUAACAUUAGGGAUAUGCAAAUAAAGUUCCUAUUUUAUUAUACCAGCUACUGUCUAAUGAUACUGACUAGAUGUCAAAACCAUCUGAAUCUUGGAAAUGU